UGGGAGCUGCUUCUGGCAGAUGCACCCAUCCUGCUGAAGAUGGGGCUUCCUGGCUGCUGAGAUAUAGUGACUGCCAAUUCCUUUUUC